rnacentral:snRNA from 1 species
GCACCGGAUCCCAUCAGAACUCCGCAG